rnacentral:rRNA from 1 species
UAGGGAAUCUUCGGCAAUGGACGAAAGUCUGACCGAGCAACGCCGCGUGAGUGAAGAAGGUUUUCGGAUCGUAAAACUCUGUUGUUAGAGAAGAACAAGGAUGAGAGUAACUGUUCAUCCCUUGACGGUAUCUAACCAGAAAGCCACGGCUAACUACGUGCCAG